AACCUCCGACGAAUUUCUCCGGCGAACUUUCGUGCAUUAAUCGUGUAAGUGGUUUCUUUUAGCUUCAAUUAUCCGAGUCUUAAUCGACCAUUUUCAAAGGGCUUUUUAAACAAAUUUCUCUUCAUCUUAAGCUCUCUUGAUUUCAAAAUACUCGAGUUGGCCACUCGUUAUUAUCGGGAAUAUUGUGCACUAACUUUAUUUGCUCACUAACUCAUAUUUGUGCUCCCAUUCCCAUCACUCCCAUACCCUUCUUGUUUUAGUGAGAAACCCAUUUUUCAGCCCUGUGCUCGGUGGGGAUAUCAUUAAGAUAAGAUACGUGGUAUUACGUGUUUAUUUUCCGAACGUGUGUGACGUGAGUGAUUUCACUUGUUUCGGU
rnacentral:lncRNA from 1 species